CUAAAUAUAAUACCCUAAACCCCAAACUUAAAUCUUAAAUACAAAGUCAUAAAUCUAUUUUCUUAAUUUAUAAUAUAAGUUUUAAUUAGACUCCAAAUAUGUUCUAAAAUUCAAACCAUAUAAUUAAUUAUAAAUCUUAACCCUAAACUCUAAACCACAUACUUCAAAUUAACCUACAUCAUAAAUCCUAAUUUACAAAUUUCAAAAAUUUAAAUUGUACUCUAAAUUCUAACAUAUACACUAUAACUGUGAACUCUAAAUACAAAAUCUAAAUUUUAAAUUUAAUCAAAUACAUAUACUAUAAAUGCCAAACACCAAACCCUACAUCAAACCCUAUUCUUCAAAUUGAUACUCAAACCCUAUUCUUCAAAUUGAUACUCAAACUCUAAAUCCUUUUAUAACAAUUCUUAAUUUUUUUAAAGAAAAUCAUAAUUAUAUAUCAUAAUUGAUAUUUUUGCAAUUACAAAUUGUAAUUACUGAAAUUAACCAUCACUUAAUCUUCAAACAUUAGUCUUUGUAAACAUAUAAAAUGAUAUGUCAAACUUAAUAAGAUUAAAUAAAAUAAAAUAAAAAAGAAAGAAUUGUGUGGUACAAACUACAAUCUCUAUCUCACCUCCUUUUACGUUAUUCUUUUUUUUUAAUAGCAAUCGUAGUGAUUCUUUUCUAUUGGCUAAUACAAGAAUGUGGGGAUAACUUCUUUUUUAACCUUAACUAUUGAUGAAUUUAAUCUAAGGGACAUAAAUAUUUGCUUCUUUUUUUAAUGGUUUCCUCUCUUUCUCGAUCUCUGCUCCUCUCCUCUUCUACCGUCGUAAACCUAAAAAAAAAAUGAAUCCAUCUUUUCUUCUUCUCUGGAAUAAACCCUAAGAAACCCAGAAAAAUUCUCCAUCUUUUACGAAGGACUCCACUUCUCACCUCGUUGGUUCAUGCCUCAAUCCCAUCAGCUCAAACGAAAUCUGUCUCCUUUAUUUCCGAAUUUGUACAUGAGAUUUUACGGAGGAGACAGAAGAUUUGGCAGAGGAGAAGGAGGCGCCACCACCUCCAUCUGUUGAUUAUAUCUUAGAUCUCUUGAUAAAUUCAUCUUGUAUGUGUUUACAUACUGAUUUGUUUUUUAGAAUGUGGAGAAAGACAUGAGAUUCUAUGGAGGAGACUGAAGAUUUGGCUCGAACGGUGGCUCCAACACAAGAUUGAAUCAUUUCUUCAGCCAUAGCAUCCAGAGUCGGUUGAGGCGUCGGUGUAGAAGAAGUGGUAUGUGACUGAAAGAUGGUGACGUUGAAGCGCUGUGGUGACGGAGACGAAGGCGUAGCUGAUAUGCGGCGGCUUAGGUUUAGGUUUUGUUAAUUAGGUUUGGUUUUAUGUGUGUUUAAUUAGUUUUGGUUUAAUGUGUUCUGGUGUAUUUAAUUUUUUAAUUCUGGUUUAGUGUUAUAUUUAUUUGUAAUUUAAGUUUUAAUUAAUAAAUAAAAAUUUAUUUUUAA